GAACCUCUAUGUGCUGUGGGAGCGGCCCUAGAAAAGGCAAAAAGACAAAAAAAAAGAUGACGCUGAUGUGUAGCCAUGCAGAUGACUGAUUAGGAGGUGGCAGAGCUGGGUUUGGAGCCAGGCAGGCUGGUUCUGAAGACCAUUCUCUGUCCGUGUCCCUUUCUUCCUCCAAAGAAUUAGGACGGGCGUUCCUGCCAUGGUGUGGUGUGUCAGGAAUCCUACUGCAGCUGCUCCAAUUGCGCUGGAGGCGCAGGUUGAAUCUCUGACUCAGUGCAGAGGGUCAAAAGGAUUGGGCAUUGCCACAGCUGCCGUGUGGGCUGCAUCUGUUGUGCAGACUCAACCCCUGGCCUAGGGGAACUUCCAUAUGCACAGGUGUGGCCAUAAAAUUAAAAAAAAAAAAAGAAAGAAAGAAAGAAAGGAAAAGAAAGAAAGGAAGGGAGGAGGCCAGCAGAGAAUGAGGUGGAGGGAGGCUGAAAGAGCCACAGAGCAGCCCAGGGAAUGUGAGAUGCUAGUGAUCCUGACAGCACUUCUGGCUCGAACCCACCUGGAACCCAGACUGGGACUUGAACCCACAUUGUUUAAACCAGAAUCACUCACCCGGUGAGAGACAAAGUGAUAGGCAAGAAAUAGAUUUAUUGAGAUGGGAGGCUUGUGAGUGAUGCAAGUGGAAAGGCAAGAAGGCUCUGCCCUGAGGAUCAAUGGGCUACAGUUUUCUCCUCCAAGGGGAGUCGGGGUGGGGAAAGCCCGCCCCUUGCUGUUUCUUGGAGUUGAGUAGUAGCUCCUCCUUGGUGUCUGAUAAGAGAGUAUUUGACCCUGUAAGGUCAAACUAGGACUGUCAGAGUGCUUAUUCAAAGCAGCAGAAGGGUAGUCCUUAAACCCCUGCCCUUGGUCUGAACCUGAAUGCAGCCCUCCCCCCAUCCCACCCAAUGACCUGAAGCCUGUCUCGCGCCUCCAGCAGUCAAGCACCCUGCCUGGCUCUGACGGCCCUCUGGAGCAAUUAUUAACUUAUGUGAUCUCCCAGAGUCCCCUAGGGCUCCCUCUCUGCCUGUGGUCCCUUAUUGGGACCUGUACAACUACGUGUAACUACCCUGCUCCAUCCUUAUCACCAGGACCCCAAGACACCAGAAAGUGCUGACUUCUAGGGCAGGGAGCCAGCUGAAAACCACUGCACGUACCACCCUCCCAUCCCAAACCCAAGGAGCCAUCAGCAGAUUUUUCCGACUGCCAAAUCGCUGGACCACACAUCCCAUGGGCCUGGGUUUUUAGAACCUCCCGCCCUCGAAAGAGCGGAAAUUUGAAGACGUCCACUGCACCUGUUUAGAGAGAAACCCUCUUUCCCAUCCUAACGUGGAGCAGCCCUCCUCAAACCGUCAUGGUCACCAGCAUUGUUCACAAGGACACCGCUUGCCAAGGUCAUGCCAAGGGAAGGCAAAGCUGGAAGGAUACUGCCAUGCCCACGAAGGAAACCAUCAUCUCCCACACGCCCACGCCGUAUCCAUUCCUGCACUUCCUCCGCUCCAAAUCAAGAGACGCCUUAUCUUCUGCUGUCUUAAAAUUGUUCUCAACUUGAUGUCCACGCGCCUUUGGGAGGCGAAGAGAUGCUGUGCCCCUGACUCCUGGCCGCAGCUGCAGGAAGCUCUCCCACCCCGGAAGGCUCCGGCAUGAAUCAGCACGCUCCUCUCCACAUCCCUCCGAGGAGGCUCGGGCCGGAACACACCAUCAGCACCAGUCGUGCUUUUCACUCUGCCCUUGACAUCCUUGGCCUUCCUUGGCCCCACGCCCUUCUGACUCAGCUCGGCCUCCCACGGAGAUGUCCUCAGGAGAGUCAGCUCUGAGCCUUCUCUUCCUGACCCACCCCAGGCUCCUCUUCUGUCACCGGUUGGACAUCUUGGUCCUGCCUCUAUCACUGGGUUUCAGCCUCACCAACCCUUCCCUCUUUUAAAAAAAUCUAAGAAUGCUUUC